UACGUAGGGUGCAAGCGUUGUCCGGAAUUACUGGGCGUAAAGAGCUCGUAGGUGGUUUGUCGCGUUGUCCGUGAAAACUCACAACUCAAUUGUGGGCGUGCGGGCGAUACGGGCAGACUGGAGUACUGCAGGGGAGACUGGAAUUCCUGGUGUAGCGGUGGAAUGCGCAGAUAUCAGGAGGAACACCGGUGGCGAAGGCGGGACUCUGGGCCGAUACUGACGCUGAGGAGCGAAAGCGUGGGGAGCAAACAGG
rnacentral:rRNA from 1 species